UUGGUAUGUAUCCUGUGGUCUCUUUACUGUGAUAUGGAAACUUGCCGUAGCACUUCUUGCCAUUCUCCUUCAUGUAAGUUUUAGAACACCAAACCUGAAGGCUCGUCUUAACACUUUUCGUGAGGAGUUUUGUGCAGUUUGGCGCAAUUACAGUGAGCUAUGAGCUCACAGUCUAUAUCAUCUUCAACAGCCCUUCUCUAAUUGAUUUGUGUUAGUACAAGUUCAUCGAGUUCCAUUUUAUGAUCCUGAUGGUCGAUGUUCGAUUUCAUGCUGCUGUUGAAGAUUCUGCGAAAUAAUUUCUUUAGCUGGGUUAAGAUGAAGAAGGCUUCC